GAUGAACGCUGGCGGCGUGCUUAACACAUGCCAGUCGAACGAAGCAUUUAGAACAGAUUACUUCGGUUUGAAGUUCUUUAUGACUGAGUGGCGGACGGGUGAGUAACGCGUGGGUAACCUGCCUUGUACUGGGGGAUAGCAGCUGGAAACGGCUGGUAAUACCGCAUAAGCGCACAAUGUUGCAUGACAUGGUGUGAAAAACUCCGGUGGUAUAAGAUGGACCCGCGUCUGAUUAGCUAGUUGGUGAGAUAACAGCCCACCAAGGCGACGAUCAGUAGCCGACCUGAGAGGGUGACCGGCCACAUUGGGACUGAGACACGGCCCAGACUCCUACGGGAGGCAGCAGUGGGGAAUAUUGCACAAUGGAGGAAACUCUGAUGCAGCGACGCCGCGUGAGUGAAGAGGUAAUUCGUUAUGUAAAGCUCUAUCAGCAGGGAAGAUAGUGACGGUACCUGACUAAGAAGCUCCGGCUAAAUACGUG
rnacentral:rRNA from 1 species